CUCCAUUAGCUACACAGUGCUGAUGAGCCCCAAAAGGGCGAAACAGCUGUCCACAGUUGCUAAUGUGAGCAGGA